GGCCCCAUCGUCUAGCCCGGUCCAGGACAUCACCCUCUCACGGUGGAGACACGGGUUCAAAUCCCGUUGGGGCUA
rnacentral:tRNA from 2 species